AGGAUAAACGCUGGCGGCGUGCCUAACACAUGCAAGUCGAACGUCUCUUUCUUCGGGAAGAGGAGUGGCGGACGGGUGAGGAACACGUGGGAACCUGCCCUACAGUGAGGAAUACCGGCGAGAAAUCGCCGACAAGAUCGCAUAGCCCUCUCUGGUGAGAGCCAGAGAAGGAAAGCUUCGCAAGAGGCGCUGGAGGAGGGGCCUGCGUCCGAUUAGCUAGUUGGUGGGUAAGAGCCUACCAAGGCGUCGAUCGGUAGCUGGUCUGAGAGGACGAUCAGCCACACUGGGAUUGAGAACGGCCCAGACUCCUACGGGGGGCAGCAGUGAGGAAUUUUCGGCAAUGGGGGAAACCCUGACCGAGUAACGCCGCGUGCAGGAAGACGGCCUUCGGGUUGUAAACUGCUUUUCUUUGGGACGAGCAAGGACGGUACCAGAGGAAUCAGCCCCGGCUCACUACGUGCCAGCAGCCGC
rnacentral:rRNA from 1 species